rnacentral:rRNA from 1 species
CCAUAUGAGAGAAUUAUACGGUCCGGCCUGCUCACUGAAUUUUUUUUAAGAGCCGCGGUAUUAUGACCGUGCAAAGGUAGCAUAAUCAUUAGUUUUUUAAUUGAAAACUUGUAUGAAUGGUUAGACAAAAGAAAGGCUGUCUCCUGUUUUUAGCUUGAACUUUACUUUUAAGUGAAAAGGCUUAAAUUCUUUAGGGGGACGAUAAGACCCUAUGAAGCUUUAUAAUAAGUGUAGAUAUUACUGGUAUAGAAUAUAAAAUUAAAAUAUACAAAUAUUAUUUUAUUGGGGCGAUAUUAAUAUAAUUAAUUUAACUGUUAAAGUAACAAACACUUAUAAGUGGUAAAAUGAUCCUUUGUUUUGAAGAUUAAAAGAUUAAGUUACUCUAGGGAUAACAGGGUAAUUUCUUUUGAGAGUCCUUAUUGAAAAAGAAGUUUGCCACCUCGAUGUUGAAUUAAAAUAUCCGGAUGGUGCAGCCGCCAUAAGGGNAAGGUCUGUUCGACCUUUAAAAUUUU